UACAGAGGUCCCGAGCGUUGUUCGGAUUCACUGGGCGUAAAGGGUGCGUAGGUGGCAUGGCAAGUUUGAUGUGAAAGCUCAGGGCUUAACCCUGAAAUGGCAUUGAAUACUGCUGUGCUGGAGGAUUGGAGGGGGGACUGGAAUUCUUGGUGUAGCAGUGAAAUGCGUAGAUAUCAAGAGGAACACCAGUGGCGAAGGCGAGUCCCUGGACAACACCUGACACUGAGGCACGAAAGCCGGGGGAGCAAAC
rnacentral:rRNA from 1 species